UUCCAGACUCCUACGGGAGGCAGCAGUGGGGAAUAUUGGACAAUGGGGGGAACCCUGAUCCAGCGACGCCGCGUGAGUGAAGAAGUAUUUCGGUAUGUAAAGCUCUAUCAGCAGGGAAGAAAAUGACGGUACCUGACUAAGAAGCCCCGGCUAACUACGUGCCAGCAGCCGCGGUAAUACGUAGGGGGCAAGCGUUAUCCGGAUUUACUGGGUGUAAAGGGAGCGUAGACGGCAAUACAAGUCGGAAGUGAAAUACCCGGGCUUAACCUGGGAACUGCUUUGGAAACUGUAUGGCUGGAGUGCUGGAGAGGUAAGCGGAAUUCCUAGUGUAGCGGUGAAAUGCGUAGAUAUUAGGAGGAACACCAGUGGCGAAGGCGGCUUACUGGACUGUAACUGACGUUGAGGCUCGAAAGCGUGGGGAGCAAACAGGAUUAGAUACCCCGGUA
rnacentral:rRNA from 1 species